AACGUAGGUGGCAAGCGUUAUCCGGAAUUACUGGGCGUAAAGCGUGCGCAGGCGGUUCGUUGUGUCGGCGGUGAAAGCCCCGGGCUUAACCUGGGAAUGGCCGUUGAAACUGGCGAACUGGAGUGUGGCAGAGGGGGGUGGAAUUCCGCGUGUAGCAGUGAAAUGCGUAGAGAUGCGGAGGAACACCGAUGGCGAAGGCAGCCCCCUGGGCUAACACUGACGCUCAGGCACGAAAGCGUGGGGAGCAAACAGG
rnacentral:rRNA from 1 species